rnacentral:lncRNA from 1 species
AGAAGAAGAUCAACUAGAGUUUGGAAUUUUUGUUUUAUUAUGUAUUAUGAAAAUAUUCUUCUUUUUUAUUUAAUAAAACUUGAAUAGUACUAACAUUGCAUUUUUAUAUACGGAAUAGAAUGAUCUGUUACCGUAAAUUGAGCAAGUUAGUAUUCAAUUUGAAUGUUCGGAAGUCCAAAAAUGUACAAACACAUGAUUCGAAUCUUCUGAAGUGUUUCUAUUCUAUAUCACCAAAAUAGUAUAGGUCACUAAACUCUUCUCAACCUUUAAAUGAUAAACAUUAUCCCAACCCCACUUUCAAUCCCUAAAUACUAAACCCUAAACUCUAAGCACUAAACCUUAAACUCAAAUAUAAAUCCUAAAUCCAAAUAUAAUUCAUAAACCCAAAUAGAAUGAAACAGAAUAAAUAACAUAGUACAUACUGGUAAAAAUAUGAAAUGUAUAUGAUUACAUGGAAGAAUUUAAUGUUGACCCCAACCUCAACCCCCACCUUACAAAUACUAAACCCUAAAUCCUAAUCACUAUACCCUAAACCCAAAAUAUAAAUCUUAAACCCA